UACGUAGGGCGCAAGCGUUAUCCGGAAUUAUUGGGCGUAAAGAGCUCGUAGGCGGUUUGUCGCGUCUGCCGUGAAAGUCCGGGGUUCAACUCCGGAUCUGCGGUGGGUACGGGCAGACUAGAGUGAUGUAGGGGGAGACUGGAAUUCCUGGUGUAGCGGUGAAAUGCGCAGAUAUCAGGAGGAACACCGAUGGCGAAGGCAGGUCUCUGGGCAUUAACUGACGCUGAGGAGCGAAAGCAUGGGGAGCGAACAGGA
rnacentral:rRNA from 1 species